rnacentral:lncRNA from 1 species
UCGAGGAGACUCACGCAAUACUUAAUACUCCAUGAAAUUAAAAAGGUAUUUCCCCCAUGGCUGAUUUUUUUUCUUUUGAGAAAUGGUUUACAAAUGAUUCGAUCCCUCCCCAUGGCUGGAUUUCCGAAUGAACAAGUGGAUUAAUCAUUCAUAAACCGAAUGUACAAAAACAAAUAAUGAAGGUGUUAAAUCUCGAUCGUUGGAUUUACAUGAGUUAGACCAACUCCGUCGGGGGAGUCCUUAGAGUAGGUUCCAAAAAAAUAAAGGCAAAAAAAUAAAUGAAAAAGAAAAAGAAAAAGAAAACAUAAAACCGGUCUUAAAUUUGAGAUUUUAAGGAGUGGUAAGAAUCCAUAUGUGGC